GAUGAACGCUGGCGGCGUGCCUAAUACAUGCAAGUCGAGCGAACAGACGAGGAGCUUACUCCUCUGACGUUAGCGGCGGACGGGUGAGUAACACGUGGAUAACCUACCUAUAAGACUGGGAUAACUUCGGGAAACCGGAGCUAAUACCGGAUAACAUGUUGAACCGCAUGGUUCAACAGUGAAAGACGGUCUUGCUGUCACUUAUAGAUGGAUCCGCGUCGCAUUAGCUAGUUGUUAAGGUAACGGCUUACCAAGGCAACGAUGCGUAGCCGACCUGAGAGGGUGAUCGGCCACACUGGAACUGAGACACGGUCCAGACUCCUACGGGAGGCAGCAGUAGGGAAUCUUCCGCAAUGGGCGAAAGCCUGACGGAGCAACGCCGCGUGAGUGAAGAAGGUCUUCGGAUCGUAAAACUCUGUUAUUAGGGAAGAACAAAUGUGUAAGUAACUAUGCACGUCUUGACGGUACCUAAUCAGAAAGCCACGGCUAACUACGUG
rnacentral:rRNA from 1 species